rnacentral:rRNA from 1 species
UCAAGCGAACAAGUGCAUGUGGUGGAUGCCUUGGCGAUCACAGGCGAUGAAGGACGCGGUAGCCUGCGAAAAGCUUCGGGGAGCUGGCAAACAAGCUUUGAUCCGGAGAUGUCCGAAUGGGGAAACCCGGCCCGUAUGGGUCAUCCCACACUGAAUUCAUAGGUGUGGGAAGCGAACGCGGCGAACUGAAACAUCUAAGUAGCUGCAGGAACAGAAAUCAACCGAGAUUCCCAAAGUAGUGGCGAACGAAAUGGGAAGAGCCUUGUACUCUUUAGCAGUGGUGUUAGCAGAACGGGAUGGAAAGCCCGGCCAUAGCAGGUGAUAGCCCUGUAUGCGAAAACACGAUUGUGGAACUAGGUGUACGACAAGUAGGGCGGGACACGUGAAAUCCUGUCUGAAGAUGGGGGGACCAUCCUCCAAGGCUAAAUACUCGUGAUCGACCGAUAGUGAACCAGUACCGUGAGGGAAAGGCGAAAAGAACCCCGGGAGGGGAGUGAAAUAGAUCCUGAAACCGCAUGCAUACAAACAGUCGGAGCCCUUUCGGGGGUGACGGCGUACCUUUUGUAUAAUGGGUCAGCGACUUACAUUCAGUGGCAAGCUUAACCGAUUAGGGAAGGCGUAGCGAAAGCGAGUCCGAACAGGGCGUUGAGUCGCUGGGUGUAGACCCGAAACCAGAUGAUCUAUCCAUGGCCAGGUUGAAGGUGCGGUAACACGUACUGGAGGACCGAACCCACUAACGUUGAAAAGUUAGGGGAUGAGCUGUGGAUAGGGGUGAAAGGCUAAACAAAUCUGGAAAUAGCUGGUUCUCUCCGAAAACUAUUUAGGUAGUGCCUCGUGUCUCACCUUCGGGGGUAGAGCACUGUCAUGGUUGGGGGGUCUAUUGCUGAUUACCCCGCCAUAGCAAACUCCGAAUACCGAAGAGUGCAAUCACGGGAGACAGACAUCGGGUGCUAACGUCCGGUGUCAAGAGGGAAACAACCCAGACCGCCAGCUAAGGUCCCCAAAUAUAGCUAAGUGGGAAACGAAGUGGGAAGGCUAAAACAGUCAGGAGGUUGGCUUAGAAGCAGCCACCCUUUAAAGAAAGCGUAAUAGCUCACUGAUCGAGUCGUCCUGCGCGGAAGAUGUAACGGGGCUAAGCUAUAUACCGAAGCUGCGGACGCACGCAAGUGCGUGGUAGGAGAGCGUUCUGUAAGCCUGUGAAGGUGUCUUGUAAAGGAUGCUGGAGGUAUCAGAAGUGCGAAUGCUGACAUGAGUAGCGAUAAAGGGGGUGAAAGGCCCCCUCGCCGUAAGCCCAAGGUUUCCUACGCAACGUUCAUCGGCGUAGGGUGAGUCGGCCCCUAAGGCGAGGCAGAGAUGCGUAGCUGAUGGGAAGCAGGUUAAUAUUCCUGCACCGUCGUAUGAUGCGAUGGGGGGACGGAUCGCGGAAGGUUGUCCGGGUGUUGGAAGUCCCGGUCCCUGCAUUGGAGAAGGCGCUCAGGCAAAUCCGGGCGCGGGAUUCAAGGAUGUGGGGCGAGCGGCCUAGUGCUGCGAAGCAAUUGGAAGUGGUUCCAAGAAAAGCCUCUAAGCUUCAGUCAUACGAGACCGUACCGCAAACCGACACAGGUGGGCGAGAUGAGUAUUCUAAGGCGCUUGAGAGAACUCGGGAGAAGGAACUCGGCAAAUUGGUACCGUAACUUCGGGAUAAGGUACGCCCUGGUAGCUUGACUGGCCUGCGCCAGAAGGGUGAAGGGGUUGCAAUAAAAUGGUGGCUGCGACUGUUUAAUAAAAACACAGCACUCUGCAAACACGAAAGUGGACGUAUAGGGUGUGACGCCUGCCCGGUGCCGGAAGAUUAAAUGAUGGGGUGCAAGCUCUUGAUUGAAGUCCCGGUAAACGGCGGCCGUAACUAUAACGGUCCUAAGGUAGCGAAAUUCCUUGUCGGGUAAGUUCCGACCUGCACGAAUGGCGUAACGAUGGCCACACUGUCUCCUCCCGAGACUCAGCGAAGUUGAAGUGUUUGUGAUGAUGCAAUCUCCCCGCGGCUAGACGGAAAGACCCCAUGAACCUUUACUGUAGCUUUGCAUUGGACUUUGAACCGAUCUGUGUAGGAUAGGUGGGAGGCUUUGAAGCGUGGACGCUAGUUCACGUGGAGCCGUCCUUGAAAUACCACCCUGGUUUGUUUGAGGUUCUAACCUUGGCCCGUGAAUCCGGGUCGGGGACAGUGCAUGGUAGGCAGUUUGACUGGGGCGGUCUCCUCCCAAAGUGUAACGGAGGAGUUCGAAGGUACGCUUGGUACGGUCGGACAUCGUACCUAAAGUGCAAUGGCAAAAGCGUGCUUAACUGCGAGACCGACAAGUCGAGCAGGUGCGAAAGCAGGACAUAGUGAUCCGGUGUUUCUGAAUGGAAGGGCCAUCGCUCAACGGAUAAAAGGUACUCUGGGGAUAACAGGCUGAUACCGCCCAAGAGUUCAUAUCGACGGCGGUGUUUGGCACCUCGAUGUCGGCUCAUCUCAUCCUGGGGCUGUAGCCGGUCCCAAGGGUAUGGCUGUUCGCCAUUUAAAGAGGUACGUGAGCUGGGUUUAAAACGUCGUGAGACAGUUUGGUCCCUAUCUGCCGUGGGCGUUGGAAUCUUGACGGGGGCUGCUCCUAGUACGAGAGGACCGGAGUGGACGUACCGCUGGUGUACCUGUUGUCUCGCCAGAGGCAUCGCAGGGUAGCUAUGUACGGAAGAGAUAACCGCUGAAAGCAUCUAAGCGGGAAACUCGCCUGAAGAUGAGGAUUCCCUGGAGGCUUGACCUCCUUGAAGGGUCGUUCGAGACCAGGACGUUGAUAGGCUGGGUGUGGAAGCGCAGUAAUGCGUUAAGCUAACCAGUACUAAUUGCCCGUAAGGCUUGAUCCU